rnacentral:rRNA from 1 species
UACGGGGGGGGGCACGCGUUGUUCGGAAUUACUGGGCGUAAAGGGCUCGUAGGCGGCCAACUAAGUCAGACGUGAAAUCCCCAGGCUCAACCUGGGAACUGCGUCUGAUACUGGAUGGCUUGAAUCCGGGAGAGGGAUGCAGAAUUCCAGGUGUAGCGGUGAAAUGCGUAGAUAUCUGGAGGAAUACCGGUGGCGAAGGCGGCAUCCUGGACCGGCAUUGACGCUGAGGAGCGAAAGCCAGGGGAGCAAACGGG